rnacentral:lncRNA from 1 species
UAUGAUGAUGCGUGGAGUGGCGUGGGGUAACAACCAUCUCCAUCGAGUGGCGGUGCUCGCGUGAAGGAUGAGUUCGUGUUAGUCCCCCUAUCCCGAUCUGGAUUUUAUGGAUCUUUCAAAAAAAGUUCUUGUUAGGGAUUUGAGUUUUUUCCAUUUAACAUGCUCUCAUGUAGGGUAGUAGCACUCUCUCGGCUGUGGCUGCACGUUCAACUGGCCAGUCAAGGAGCUCCAGCAAGCAGGUCCGCCUACUCUCCUUUCCCCUGAGCUCCUGCAACUACACAAAUCAUCUUCCUGGUAUUUUCUCACUUUUGAUUCACAGACUAUGUAUUGUAGUUAGUUCUGGUGAUUAUCAGUUGAUCUAAGACCACUGUACGUGCAUAUCUCAGACUUGAGAAGAAUGCACAUAGCCUUGCUGAGAACAUAAUAUUGUUUCGAUGAUUAUCUUGUUUGUGCGCUUGUUUUGAUAAAACACAGGGGUUAUAGAGGAAUUGAAACAUGUUACAUUGAAAUCAGAGAGCAUGUCGUUGUUGCUUAAUUCCGUUAAUCUUGGCUGUCACUGUAUACCUUGAGAUUCAGGUAGAAGCAAUAGAAUCCAGGAAAAAAAUACCUACCUGCAUGUGUUCCUUAGAGAGUUUGUUUUCUUCAUACCUCACCAUUCUUAAUAUAUAUGGUCAUCUAUGUUCUGGAUAUCACACUCGACGGCCUCCCUUCAUGGCACAAAACUGAAACUACGCCAUGAAUAUAUUUAUUCAGUGAAAUAGCUGAUUCCAAUCAUUCAUCAACUAGCUUUGUUUUAAUCACAGCAAUAAGUCAUGAUAUCUUGAAAUUGCCUGAUUGGUGAUUAUACAUUUUAUAUGAUGUUUUUCACCUGCAAGCUCUGCACUUCUUUCCUUUCAACUUUAUCUCUCUUGCUUUAUUUCAUGAAUAUAUUCCUCUUCUCAUUCCAUCAUUCAGUCUGUUUGCAACAAAAUCCUGAUUCAUAGUCUGUUUUUUUUUAAUGCUUGGCACAUCCUAAACAAAAUCCUGAUUAAACGAUAGGCUUGGCAUAUCUUUUUUUAUCACUAUGGUUGCUUUUAUCCGCAACUGAUUUCUCUGAUUCCUUUCCCAUGCUGUAAUGCAAUUGUUUUGGGCAAUUCCCCAAGGCCUUAUGUUUUAUGUUAUUGGGAACUGCAGGACACCCAGCGAGUGUUUAGGAUCCCACACACGACAGUUCUUGGCAUGCUCCUGGCACACCUUGGACUAUCACCGGCUCAGUAUGAACGCGUUGUUCAUGAGGACGGCAAGACCCAUGUUGUAAAUUGUCUGUAAGCGACGUGUUGCCGUAUCUUCUAUGCCUAAAACGUCUGUAAGCGACGUGUUGUCGUAUCUUCUAUGCCUAAACGCGUCUAUGUUAUGCCUAAAACUUAAAGUUAUCUAUGCAUAGUUGUAAAUUGUCUUUAAGCGACGUGUUGUCGUAUCUUCUAUGCCUAAGAUAUUUGGUGCUAACCUAUCGUGAAACAUGAUUUCUAUGUUCAUGCAUUGUUAAGUAGCUUCUUAU